AGUUCAAUUUAAUUCUGGUUGUGGAAGGGGUCAAAGUAGUACUACAUAGGCUUUGUUUCUUUCAGGAAGUUGAUAGGUUUGUGGCGUUGCUUAGUGGUUGGAUCUUGGUUUUUGAGGUAACUCUGAUUGGGCUGCUUUGAGGGAGGUGGAAAAUUCACAGUGCCAGCAUCCGCGGUUAUUCUGUUAAUCUCCUCUUCUAGCUGGUUUAAAUGAUUUGCAGGAGAUUUCGGACUUUUGGGUAGAAUUGUUGUCUUGUUGAGAAACACUUGCAUUUUUUUGGAGAACUCUCUAGGAAAAGGAUUAGAGACCCUUGUACUGAGUGGAGUAUUUUGUGGCCAUGGUGUAAACUAAAAGGAUUUGGCAGCCGAUGAUGUUCCUCCGGGGGAGUGUGUGGCGUAAGAGAUAGUCCACUUAGGAUCUUACCAUCAUUAUUAGUUAGUGUAUAUCCGGUUUAAGAUUCGUGAUUUGUGUCAUUGAGUGUUAUUGAUUUAAUUGAAUCCAGGUCAAUGUGCUGCUUAUGUGAUGGUGCUUGUGCACUACUUUUUGAAUAUUCUUCAAUGUAAAUUGUGGGAGGUUUAGGACUCGGAAGUAGGCGGAUUGAGGUUUGUUCUGUCGAAUUUGGAUUUAGUUGGGGUACAUACCGCCCGUCACCCAGGGUGAUAACUGUGGUAAGUCGUAACAUGGUAAUGUUGGGGGAACCGGACAUUAGUUGGUAAAUUCUUAGUUAGGAGUACCU
rnacentral:ncRNA from 1 species